rnacentral:lncRNA from 1 species
ACUUGUCCAUUUUUUUCUGCGAGGUUGUCAAGCACUUGCUCCUUUUUAUUUCCUCGAAAUAUCUUUAUUUUUGCAUAGCCCAUGCCUCUAAUGCAAUAAUACUUCGGAAGAGUGAAUCUUUCUAAAUAAAUGUCUUGAUCUUAGGAGCAUGAUAAAUCUCUCAACAAGGGUCUAACUCAUUUUGAACAAACUCAAUACAUAGCAGAUAGUUUUUUAUAAUCAUAAUUAAUAUUUUCAGUUUUAUCGGGCAUAUAAAACGCUGAGGAUGGUAGCUAGAAUUUUUAAAAUAAAUUCUCCAAGCAACAAUGAUAUCAAGAAUAAGAAAUUCAUACUAUACCAUUUCACAUUCCAUAUUGACUUAAGUAGCACAGGGUUUUAAAAUGAUUUUCAAUAAUUGCAAGUUUCAAGGAAUAUCACAGAGUGAGAUUAAUCAUGAUUAGAAAUAUUUCAAUCUUUUUAAUUUAUCAUGUCGGAAACAAUAUUCUGCAUAAUCUAAGAUAUAUAUAUGAGUAUGUGUAAAGUAAGUGUACAGACUGUGUACCUAAAUCGUGGAGUGGUGUAGUUGAAGUGUGUUUGGCAUGUCGAGGGAUCUCCCCCAUACUUGUUUUCUACUUUCUUGCACAAGAAUAAAGUAGAGAUACACAAGACAUAAUAGUAAUAAUAAUAAUACUCUUUAUUAAUCUUGAGGCAUUUAUUACAAAUGACUAGUAGCAAACUGACGAUAAUAGUAGCAAACUGACGAUAAUAGUAAACCUAAACCGAAUUUAAAGAUAGAGAACUAAGAUGCAUUGCCUCAAGGUCUAAUCUAGAUAACUCAGUGGCGCUCUAAUUCCUUGAUCUUCUUAUUGGCACUAGCAAGAUCAUGCCUAAGGCCUAAUAUAAUGGUGUUGUGGUUAGAGAGCUGCCUAGUGAGGGAAUUAAUCGAGGACUGGAGGUCUAUGAUAACUCUGUCUAGCCUGCGAACGUCCUCAUCAAUAUCUACUAUAGUCUUGCGACGCUUGGGAGGUGUCUCAAAAGCAUUGAGAGCGUGCUUCAGGGCUGCCUUUGGAGGGAUGAAACAGACUUUGGCUGCUCUAACCCCUUCAAAGUAAGGUCUUUCCUCCUCCGUAGUGUAGCAUAUGCUGCUGAUCUCGCCGCUCCGGUUGGUCUUGACUCCAACGACCCUCUCAUUGGGUCUAGGUGGAAGGAUCCUCGUGUCGGUUAGCACCUUGAUAGUGGUCUUCGUCUUGGAUGAUGUUCCCUUGAGGAGUAGGGGUUGUGGUGGUGCGGUGAGAACUGGUUGAGCAUGAUAGGAUUGGGCAGAGCUACGCUGGUGUAAUGGCAUGGCUUCUAGCUGUCGCUCUGUGUUGGCCGGGAUGAGAUAACGGGCGUCGGGGUCUUCCUUAGGCUCCAUGUUGAGGUUGAAGGGGACAACUUCCCAAUCAUCGUGGAACUUCUCGGCCAUUGGAGGAGCGAGGGGCUAAACAAGCUCUAAUUGAAGAAGAAGAAGAGAAGGCUUGGUGGAUUAGUGUUUGAAAACUGAUGUCAGGGUCAGUUUAUAUAGGGGUCAAAAAUUGCCUCUAGGGGUUUGUUCUGGUUGCUCCCGUCGAUGUGCGUGCGAAACUUUCCAUCUGAGGGAUUAUUCGGAUUACCAUAAUUGUAUUUUCCUUAAUAGAGAAAAUUGGGACCGAGGGGAAACAGGAGCUGGGCGCCCGCCCGCUUGAUCAGGGCGCCCGCCCUCUCUCUGGCUCCUCUGUGGGCCCGCUUUCUCGAGCGUGUUUCUAGAUGCAGAACUAAUUAGGUAACUAUAUGUAUGACCCAAAAACGGUAGAUUAAAAAGGUCAGGCUCUAAAUCUCCAUGGGAAGUUAAAAAUGGACUAUGUCUAUUUCUUAUAAUUCUUUAUUGGGCUCUAAAAACAAUUUAAGACGUUGACCAUUUACCUUGAAUAACGUACCUUCGUCAUUUUGAAGUGUGAUAGCUCCAUGGGAUGAUGAAUUAAUCACCUUGAAUGGUCUUUCCCAUUUGCUCCAGAGUUUUCCAUGCCCGAAAAGCUUCACCCUGGAAUUAAAAACUAAUACCUUAUCUCCGGGUGCGAACUCCUUCUUCUUGAUCCUCUUGUCAUGCCACCUUUUGACUCUUUCUUUGUAGAUCUUCGAAUUGUGAUAUGCUUUCUCUCGCCAUUCUUCCAAUUCUGAUAGUUGCAUUCUUCUAUGAUCUCCAGCGACAUCGAGCUCCAUAUUCCAUCUCUUUAUGGCCGAGUGUGCUUUGAACUCUAGUUCAACAGGUAGGUGGCAAGUCUUCCCGUACACCAAUUGGUAUGGGGACAUUCCAAUUGGGGUCUUGUAUGCUGUCCGGUAUGCCCAGAGUGCAUCGGGUAACUUAUCUUUCCAUGCCGUUCCCAUUUCAUUUACUGUCUUCUGAAGAAUAUUCUUGAUUUGCUUAUUGGAAGUCUCUGCUUGGCCACUUGUCUGAGGAUGAUAGGGGGUAGCGACGUUGUGACGGAUUCCAUGUUUUGAUAGAUAUUGCUUGAAGCGUUUGUCGAUGAAGUAUGCUCGUCCAUCACUUAUCACUACUCUAGGGACUCCAAAUCCUGGAAAUAUAAUUUCUUCAAACAUCCUCUUUGAACUGAUGUUGUCGGCAUGCUUGCAAGGUAAUGCCUCUACCCACUUGGAGACGUAGUCAACUGCCACCAAGAUGUACUCACACUUCAUUGAUGGAGGAAAUAGACCCAUGUAGUCUAUUCCAUGAACAUCAAAGAGCUCAAUCUGAAGGUUGUUGGUGAGUGGCAUUGCAUCCCUUGUAUUUAUGUUUCCGUGCCUUUGAGAUGACCCACAUCUUCUGAUAUAUUGCUUCGUGUAUUCAUACAUUGUAGGCCAGUAGAAUCCACACUGCCAGAUCUUUGAAUGUGUACAGAAUGCUCCAUAGUGACCUCCAUAUGGUGAUGAAUGACAUCUAUCGAUAAUCUUCCAUCCUUCCUCAGCGGUCACACAUCUCCUGAGUAAGCCAUCACAACAUACUCGGAAGAGGUAUGGCUCAUCCCAUAUAUGUGAAUGACUUUCUUGAAUAAGCUUCUUCUUGUUUUCUCCUGGUGGUACAUACCCUGAAACCAUAAAAUUAACAAUAUCUGCAUACCAGAGGUCAGACCUGUUAAUCCCGUAGAGCAUGUCGUCCCGGAGUGAAUCAUUGAUGGGGGUUUCCUGUGGACUCUUAAAAUACAUUCUAGACAAGUGAUCAGCAACAGAAUUUUCUACUCCCUUUUUAUCUUUUAUUUCUAAGUCAAAUUCUUGGAGUAAUAAGAUCCAUCUAAUCAGGCGAGGUUUAGCAUCUUUUUUAGUGACCAAAUAUUUUAGUGCAGCAUGAUCAGUGUAAACAAUUAUUUUAGCUCCAACUAAAUAAGAUAUAAAUUUAUCAAUGGCAAAGACAACAGUCAGAAGCUCUUUUUCAGUGGUUGCAUAAUUAAAUUGAGCUCCUGUCAAAGUUUUACUGGCAUAAGCAAUUGCAUGAUGCUUCUUGUCUUUAGUUUGUCCCAAAACUGCCCCCACAGCAUAAUCAUUAGCAUCACACAUAAUUUCAAAAGGUAAUGACCAAUCAGGGGGUUGAAUGAUUGGUGCAGAGAUGAGUGCUUUCUUUAGUAAAUUGAAAGAUGUUAGACAUGCAUCAUCAAAUUCGAAAGGAGCAUCCUUGGCUAGCAAAAGAGUAAGUGGUCUAGCAAUGAAUGAAAAAUCUUUUAUGAAUCUACGAUAAAAACCAGCAUGGCCAAGAAAGCUUCGAAUUCCUUUUAUAUUCACAGGUGGAGGUAGUUGUUCAAUUACUUCAAUUUUAGCUUUGUCUACCUCAAUACCUCUUUCAGAUACUAGGUGUCCCAGCACUAUUCCUUCUGUAACCAUAAAAUGACAUUUUUCCCAAUUAAGGACUAAGUGCUUUUCUUCACAUCAUUGCAAAACCUUGUCUAAGUUUUCAAGACAACUAUCAAAAGUUUUUCCAUAAACAGAGAAAUCAUCCAUGAAAACUUCCACAAUCUCUUCAAUCAUAUCAGAAAAUAUAGACAUCAUGCAUCUUUGAAAAGAAGCUAGUGCAUUACAUAAACCAAAAGACAUUCUACGGUAAGCAUAAGUUCCAUAUGGGCAUGUAAAAGUGGUUUUGCUUUGAUCAUCAAGAUGGAUUGGGAUCUGGUGAUACCCUAAAUAUCCAUCUAAGAAACAGAAGAACGAAUGGUUCGCUAAUCCCUCUAGCAUCUCAUCUAUGAAAGGUAAAGGAAAAUGAUCCUUUCUCGUGGCUUUGUUUAGUUUUCUAUAGUCUAUGCACAUCCGCCAUUCUUUGACGGUGCGUUGCGGAAUUAGCUCGUUCUUUUCAUUCAUAAUAACAAUCAUGCCUCCCUUUUUAGGCACAACUUGAACUGGGCUUACCCACUCACUAUGCGGCACAGGAUAUAUAAUCCCUACAUGCAGCAACUUUAUAACUUCCUUUUUAACUACCUCUCUCAUAGUGUUGUUAAGUCUACGUUGGGGCUCUCGAGAAGGAGAAACAGAAGGAUCUGUUGGAAUACGAUGGGUACAAAUCAUAGGACUGAUUCCUGUAAGAUCUUGGAGUGAGUAGCCGAAAACUGAGUGAUGUUUCUCAAGAAUGGUCAUUAAUCACAGAGUUUGAUCCUGAGUGAGUUUAUCACUAAUGAUCACAGGAAACUCUGGAUUAUUGUUUAGGAAAGCGUAGAUAAGACCGGGUGGUAAAGUCUUAAGCUCUAUGGGAGUUCUAGGUGUUUCUGCAAACUCAUCUAAGGGUUCAGGUUCAGAAGGUUUAGCUUCUUCUUCUGUGAAGAAAGGAGUUUCGUCUUCUAAGUCUGGUUCAUCUAAAAGCUCUAGAGAUGCAGCCUUUACCUCCUCCAAAGGAUCAGGCAACAGAUAUGACUCGGCCUUAUUGUUUAAGGAGUGUGAAAUUGUUAUGGGAAUUUUAAAGGUUUUUCCAAAAGAAAUGUGUAGCUUUCUAGUAUGACCUUCAUAAAGGAGUCUUCUAAAAGGUUGUCCUAUCAACAGGUCGAAGUCCCAAGUAUCAAAGAUAUUGAAGUUCGAAUGAACCAUGGAGCCUUCCACCAUAAGAGGUAGGACAUUAAUAAUUCUAAGACUGGGGACUAAUUGUCCUGAAGAUUCCUUUAUGACCUUAGUUGUGGGGGUUAAAACAAGAUUUUUAAAUAACUUAAGUGCAAAAGAUUCAGACAUGAUGUUGAUCCCCACAACAGGAUUAUAGAGAGCAUCAAAUCGAACAGAAUCAUAAGCACAACGUAUAGUUAUAGAGGGUGUGUCCAUACGGAUUACAUCAGAGGAAAGCUCUGAUUCCUCCAACCACUCGCUACUCAUGACUGAGAUAAGCUCUCUUAAUUGAUAUUCACUUGGUAAAUAAAUGCUAAACUGGCCAUUUUGGGGUUUGUCGAUAGAAUGGUAGUUCGAAAUGUUUCCAAAAUCGGCAAAAAGAUCAAAUUCUAUAACCAGCAUGAAGUCCGGUGGUGGAAUUUCUUCAUUUUGUGGCUCAGAAAUUGGGAUAGCUAAAGUAGAUGAAGAAUUUGGCAGAGUGUCUACUUCGGCUACGUAGGUUUCAUCAUGAAGGGUAUUAUCCAUCUCAGCUUAUAGGAUUCUAUCUAGGAUCACACUAGCUUCAUCAGUAGGGAUGCGAAAGAAAGAACCUCUAGACAUUGUGUGUAGCAUUUGUUUAUCAUUUUUCUGAAGACCUCGAAAAAAGUGAAAUAAAAGAACAGGGUCUUCAAGAUUAAGGUUUGGACCAGAUUCUAAAAGAUCAGGAAAAACGUUUCUAGGAUUUUCCCAAAGUUUCAUUAUCUUUUUGUUUAAAAGAUAGGACUUCGAGUCUAAGGUCGCCGAUACGGUCGAGGGAAUAAAAAUCUAGACAAAAGUUAGCUCGUAAAACUCCCCAUUCACCUUGUUUUUGACUUACCUUCUGACUGUACCAUUGUCUAGCUUCUCCCCUUAAAGAAAAAGGAAAAAGCUUCCAACGUAAAGUUUUAUCAGAAAUGCCUUCAAUGCGAAGACAAUCACAUGUUUGCUCAAAAUCUCUAAUAUGAAGGUAAGGGUUUUCGUCUUCCUUUCCCGAAAAAGAUAGGUUUUGAAUCAUGGCAAUCAACCUAGAACUUAACCUAUACUGGGAUGUUUCGAUAGGCUAUGAUGACACCCAUGGUAAAAGGUCAGUUACUGAAGGGAUUGCAGAUUCAUGGAUCAAUUUAGAAUUUUGGUUUUCCAUAAGGUAAGAAUAAAGAAAAUAAGCAAAGAAUAUAAAAGAUAAGAAAAGAUAAAAGUAUAGAUACAAGCUAGUAGUAAGACUCAAGGUUAUCUCAGCAAACCGUCUUUCUCCCCGGCAACGACGCCAGAAAUGCUUAUUGAUAUUUGGAAACGCAAUAAGGAGUGGAUCCGCAAGCGCACGGAUAUCAGUGAGCACUUCACCCGGGAGGGUAUCCAGAGUAUCGUAUUUAUAUUUUUACCACUAGGAGAAAGAGUGCAUCUGACUAACCCGGUCUAUUACUAGUAACCCUUUAGGCAACAAAGAAUGUUUCUCGAUGUGAGUGAUAAAUAGAGAAGACUACAACCAUAAUCUCCUUCUAACCUUGGUAAGGAUGAUCUACUGUUCUAUUGGAGAGGCUAACGGAAUCUAGACACCCCAGAGGAUGUUCAACCCGCACCUAUAAACCCUAUCCUUCUUGCUAACCAGAUAUGGUCUACAAAGGUAACUCGGAAAUGUCACGUUCCUCGCUACUACCACGGUCCCGCUAGUCAAGGAAUAUCUAUGAGUACCCUAGCCUAAACACCACAUUUACGCUAGCAAUGAUUACUCUAAACUCUACGCGAAGAGAUUAAAGUAAACUCAUAAACCAAAAUAACAAUAAAACAAGAACUUACUAGAAUUUAGAAGUCGAAAUACUGAAGAAUCCUAGGAGCAAGCUUCGAGUUAGGAGAACUUGAUCCCGCAGGUACAAACUUGGAGUAGACACCAACAGGCUGGGCUUCCUCCGAUCUACACCUUCACUCUAUCUCUCUCUAUCUAGUAGAAACUAGAAGAUCUAUUUCUACUCACAUUGGUUGGUAAGCCUAAAAAGAAAUUUUAUUUAGAGAAGAGGUUUUCCUUCGAGGGCUCCCCUCAACUCUAUGAUAAACUUUUCUCCUCUAGGGGCCAGGGCUCUGGUUUUAUAGUCCCCUCAAGUGAACGUGAGCCGUUGGAUCAAACCAACAUUGAUUGGACGGUUAUCCUUGAUCCUUUAGGUCGGUGGAACGUCGUGUGCGAAAAGAGUCCUGAUUGGCAUCCCAUAGAGGGCGGGCGCCCAGGUCAACUGGGCGGGCGCCCAGGGCCUGGCUCCGUUCGGCCUCUGCUUCCUUCCCGUGGCUUCUGGAGUCUUCUAGAUGGUAGAAAAUUGCGCGGUGCGUUGAUAUCUCUAUGUAAUCCCAACAUGUGGGCCUUUCUUCCUUAUUUCCUGAUAACCCCCUGCAAAAACAGAUAAACAACAAAACUUGUGGAAUUCUGUCAAAUCAAACCCUAAUUCCAGGUGUUGUUUGUAUAUUGGUUCUUUCUCUUGUUUAUUUAAUAAUUAAAAUUGAUACUUGAGAACCGUCAACACAAGGCUAAAAACUAGAUACUUGCAAGGAAUUACGAUAGAGCAAGUAUUCAUCAUCUCCAUAUAGGAGUUUAUUCUAGAGGUUCAUUUUAACAAAUUCCUUAAGAUCUCUCGAUAGCUAGAAAAUUUAAUUAUGAAAGAUAAAAUAUUUAUUGGGUUUCUGAAGUUAUUUAUCUUUUUAUGUUGUCAUAACGCACUAGGAAUAAAUAGAUGAGUAAGUAAGAGAUACUUAGGUCAGUAUAUGGGGGAUGCUCUCCUCCAAGCUAGAUAUUGACAUAGUCUACUAAGAUUGCUGACGGGCAGUGAAGGCGUACUGAUCUUCCUGGAGUGUCGUGGGUACUUGCUGUCAGAAACAGCACUUGCCAGAUGUGGACAGUACUCUGAUAGGAGACAAGACGUCCUUCUGCGUGUUAAUUCUUCUUGAUCCUUUAAAGCCUGUGAAGCUUAAAUAGACAACAAAGCUUGUGGAACUGAUUAAGCAUUUGUAAUAAAUCUCUAAGCUUUGGGAGUCUAGAACUUUCUUAUACCCAUUUAUCUUUUAGCAGGAUCAAUGUAUUUUUAUGCUUUUUAAAUUAAUGGUAUGCAGACAAGGAAAUAAAUAUGCUAAAAAUAAUUUUUGUGACUCCAUAGUAGAUACGUAUGUGAGCUAUUGCAUCACAUAAUAAAUACAUGGGGCUUAGCAUUUUCUAGAUGCAAUACAAGACAUAUUUAUUUUCUUUUCUAAUGCAGCAAUAAAAAUAAAGAUGCAACUAUAUUUAUUUUCAUGGCGCGGUGUUUGGUGAUUUUAAGUCCUCCAAAUAGAACAUUCUUGAUUGCUCACUAAUCGAGGGGCGCAUCGGACGGCGCCACAGGUGCUAUGUCCUGUGCAGGAUUUAAUUCUAAAUUUACGUUAGGCAUCCAUACCUACCCUGGAUGAGAGAGUGUCUGGAAUUAUUAUCUCUUCUUCUGCUGGUACCUCCUCUUUGACGGUGUUCUCCUGAUCUAUGAAUCUUGAAACCACUCCUUCAUAGUCGGCCCAUCCAUCUACAACAUUCUUCUUCUUCUGGUGGCCGGUGUUGAUAUUUGGGAACGCAAUAAGGAAUUGAUCCGCAAGCGCACGGAUAUCGGUGAGCACUUCACCCGGGAAAUUAUCCAGAGUCUCGUAUUUAUUUUUUUACCACUAGGAGAAAGAGUGCAUCUGACUAACCGGUCUAUUACUACUAACCUUUAGGCACAAAGAAUGUCUUUCGAUGUGAGUGAUAAAUAGAGAAGACUGCAACCGUAGUCUUCUUCUAACCUUGGUAAGGAUGAUCUACUGUUCUAAUGGGGAGGCUAACGGAAUCUAGACACCACAAAGGAUGUUCAACCCGCACCUAUAAAACCUAUCCUUCCUGCUAACGAGAUGUGAUCUACAAAGGUAACUCGGAAUUGUCACGUUCCUCACUACUACCACGGUCCAGCUAGUCAGGGAAUAUCUAUGAGUACCCCAGCCUAAACACCACGUUUACGCCAGCAAUGAUUACUCUAAACUCUACGCGAAGAGAUUAAAGUAAACUCAUAAACCAUAAGAACAAUAAAACAAGAACUUACUAGAAUUUAGAAGUCGAAAUACUAAAGAAUCCUAGGAGCAAGCUUCGGGUUAGGAGAACUUGAUCCCGCAGGUACAAGCUUGGAGUAGACACCGACAGGCCGGGCUUCCUCCAAUCUACACCUCCACUCUAUCUCUCUCAAUCUAGUAGAAACUAGAAGAUCUAUUUCUACCUUACAUUGGUUGCUAAGCCUAAAAAGAAAUAUUAAUUAGAGAAGAGGUUUUCCUUCGAGGGCACCCCUCAGUCUCUAUGAUAAUUUCUUCAUGUCUUCUCCAGGGGCCAGGGGGUCUCCUUAUAUAGUCCUCCCCUUCUAUGCGUUUUUGGGUCGAUAGGCGAGGUGGUACUAUGUUUUUCUUGAUCCAAUAGGUCGGUGGAAUAUCCCGAGUGAAGAGAGUCCUGAAUCGAAUCCAGCAGGGGGCGGGCACCUAGGUCACCAGGGCGGGCGCCCUGGGCCUGGCCCCUUUCGGCCUCCGUCUUCUUCCCGUGGCUUCUGGAGUCUUCUAGAUGGUGUAAAAUCGCGCGGUGCGUUGAUAUCUCUAUGUAAUCCCGACAUGUGGGCCUUUCUUCCUUAUUUCCUGAUAACCCCCUGCAGAAACAGAUAAACAACAAAACUCGUGGAAUUCUGUCAGACCAAACCCUAAUUCUAGGUGUUGGUUGCAUAUUGGUCCUUUCUCUUGUUUAUUUGACAAUUAAAAUUGACACUUAAGACGGUUCUUAAGUAUAAAUUUUAAUUAUCAAAUAAACAAGAGANNNNNNNNNNNNNNNNNNNNNNNNNNNNNNNNNNNNNNNNNNNNNNNNNNNNNNNNNNNNNNNNNNNNNNNNNNNNNNNNNNNNNNNNNNNNNNNNNNNNCUACUGCUAAUCUUCGACUGGUUCGGGUAGGGAUUGAUCUGACAGAAUUCCACGAGUUUUGUUAUUUAUCUGUUUCUGCAGGGGGUUAUCAGGAAAUAAGGAAGAAAGGCCCACAUGUCGGGAUUCAUAGAGAUAUCAACGCACCGCGCAAUUUUACACCAUCUAGAAGAAUCCAGAAGCCACGAGACCGAAGCGGAGGCGAAACGGGGCCAGGCCCAGGGCGCCCGCCCUGAGGACCUGGGCGCCCGCCCCCCUCUGGAGCCCAAUCAGGACUCUCUUCGCUCGGGAUAUUCCACCGACCUAUUGGAUCAAGAAAAACAUAGUACCACCUCGCCUAUCGACCCAAAAACGCAUAGAAGGGGAGGACUAUAUAAGCAAGGCCCCCCUGGCCCCUGGAGAAGACAUGAAGAAAUUAUCAUAGAGACUGAGGGGUGCCCUCGAAGGAAAACCUCUUCUCUAAUUAAUAUUUCUUUUUAGGCUUAGCAAUCAAUGUAAGGUAGAUAUAGAUCUUUUAGUUUCUACUAGAUUGAGAGAGAUAGAGUGGAGGUGUGGAGUGGAGGAAGCCCGGCCUGUCGGUGUCUACUCCAAGCUUGUACCUGCGGGAUCAAGUUCUCCUAACCCGAAGCUUGCUCCUAGGAUUCUUCAGUAAUUCGACUUCUAAAUUCUAGUAAGUUCUUAUUUUAUUGUUCUUAUGGUUUAUGAGUUUACUUUAAUCUCUUCGCGUAGAUUUUAGAGUAAUCAUUGCUGGCGUAAACGUGGUGUUUAGGCUGGGGUACUCAUAGAUAUUCUCUGACUAGCUGGACCGUGGUAGUAGUGAGGAACGUGACAAUUCCGAGCUACCUUUGUAGAUCACAUCUCGUUAGCAGGAAGGAUAGGGUUUAUAGGUGCGGGUUGAACAUCUUUUGUGGUGUCUAGAUUCCGUUAGCCUCCCCAUUAGAACAGUAGAUCAUUCUUACCAAGGUUAGAAGGAGACUACGGUUGCAGUCUUCUCUAUUUAUCACUCACAUCGAAAGACAUUCUUUGUGCCUAAAGGUUAUUAGUAAUAGACCGGUUAGUCAGAUGCACUCUUUCUCCUAGUGGUAAAAAAAUAAAUACGAUACUCUGGAUAAUUUCCCGGGUGAAGUGCUCACCGAUAUCCGUGCGCCUACGGAUCAAUUCCUUAUUGCGUUCCCAAAUAUCAACAAGCAUUUCUGGCGCCGUUGCCGGGAGAAAGACGGUUGCUGAGAUAACCUGAGUCUUAGUAUUAGCUUGUAUCUAUACUUUUAUCUUUUCUUAUCUUUUAUAUUCUUCCUUUAUUUUCUUUAUUCUUACCUUAUGGAAAACCAAAAUUCUAAAUCGAUCAUGAGUCUGCAAUCCCUUUAGCAACUGACCUUUUACCAUGGGAAUCAUCACAGCCUAUCCAAACAUCCCAGUAUAAGUUAAGUUCUAGGUUUAUUGCCAUGAUUCAAAACCUAUCUUUUUCGGGAAAGGAAGACGAAAACCCUUACCUUCAUAUUAGAGAUUUUGAGCAAACAUGUGAUUGUCUUCGCAUUGAAGGCAUUUCUGAUAAGACUUUACGUUGGAAGCUUUUUCCUUUUUCUCUAAGGGGAGAAGCUAGACAAUGGUACAGUCAGAAGGUAAGUCAACAACAAGGUGAAUGGGGAGUUUUACGAGCCAACUUUUGUCUAGAUUUCUAUUCCCUUGACCGUAUAGCCGACCUUAGACUCGAAGACCUAUCUUUUAAACAAAAAGAUAAUGAAACUUUGGGAAAAUCCUGGAAACAUUUUUCUGAUCUUUUAGAAUCUGGUCCAAACCUUAAUCUUGAAGACCCUGUUCUUUUGUUUCACUUUUUUCGAGGUCUUCAUAAAAAUCACAAACAAAUGCUUCACACAAUGUCUAGAGGUUCUUUCUUUCGCAUCCCUGCUGAUGAAGCUAGAGUGAUCCUAGAUAGAAUCCUAGAAGCUGAGAUGGAUAAUACCCUUCAUGAUGAAACCUACGAAGCCGAAGUAGACACUCUGCCAAAUUCUUCAUCUACUUUAGCUAUUCCAAGUUUUGAGCCACAAGAGGAAGAAAUUCCACUACCGGACUUCAUGCUGGAUAUAGAAUCCGAUCUUUUUGCCGAUUUUGGAAAUAUUUCAAACUACCAUUCUAUUGACAAACCCCAAAACGGCCAGUUUAGCAUUUAUUUGCCAAGUGAAUUUCAAUUGAGAGAGCUUAUCUCAGUAAUGAGUAGCGAAUGGUUGGAGGAAUCAGAGCUUUCCUCUGAUGUAAUCCGUUUGGACACACCCUCUAUAACUAUACGCUGUGCUUAUAAUUCUGAUCGACUUAAUGCUCUUUAUAAUCCUGUUGUGGGGAUCAACAUCAUGUCUGAAUCUAUUGCACUUAAACUAUUUAAAAAUCUUGUCUUAACCCCCACAACAAAGGUCAUAAAGGAAUCUUCGGGACGAUUAGUCCCCAGUCUUGGAAUUAUUAAUGUCCUGCCUCUUACGGUAGAAGGCUCCAUGGUUCAUUUGAACUUCUAUAUCUUUGAUACAUGGGACAUCGACCUGUUGACAGGACAACCUUUUAGAAGACUCCUUUAUGAAGGUCAUACUGGAAAGCUACACAUUUCUUUUGGAAAAACCUUUAAAUUCCCAAUAAUAAUUUCACACUCCUUAAAUAAUAAGGCCGAGUCAUAUCUUUUGCCUGAUCCUAUGGAGGAAGUAAAGGCUGCAUCUCUAGAGCUUUUAGAUGAACCAGACUUAGAAGACGAAACUCCUUUCUUCACAGAAGAAGAAGACGAACCUUUCGAGCCUGAACCCUUAGAUGAGUUUGCAGAAACACCUAGACCCCCCAUAGAGCUUAAAACUGUACCACCCGGUCUUACCUAUGCUUUCCUAAACAAUAAUCCAGAGUUCCCUAUGAUCAUUAGCGAUAAACUCACUCAGGAUCAAACUCUGCGAUUAAUGACCAUUAUUGAGAAACAUCACUCAGUUUUCGGCUACUCACUUCAAGAUCUUACAGGAAUUAGUCCUAUGAUUUGUACCCAUCGUAUUCUAACAGAUCCUUCUGUUACACCCUCUCGAGAACCCCAACGUAGACUUAACAACACUAUGAGAGAGGUAGUUAAAAAGGAAGUUAUAAAGUGGCUGCAUGCAGGGAUUAUAUAUCCUGUGCCGCACAGUGAGUGGGUGAGCCCAGUCCAAGUUGUGCCUAAAAAGGGAGGCAUGACUGUUAUUAUGAAUGAAAAGAACGAGCUAAUUCCGCAACGCACCGUCACAGGAUGGCGGAUGUGCAUAGACUAUAGAAAACUACACAAAGCUACGAGAAAGGAUCACUUUCCUUUACCGUUCAUAGAUGAGAUGCUAGAGCGGUUAUUCAGGGUAUCAUCAAAUCCCGAUCCAUCCUAAUGAUCAAAGCAAAACCACUUUUACAUGCCCUUAUGGAACUUAUGCUUAUCAUAGAAUGUCUUUUGGGUUAUGUAAUGCACCAGCUUCUUUUCAAAGAUGCAUGAUGUCUAUAUUUUCUGAUAUGAUUGAAGAGAUUAUGGAAGUUUUCAUGGAUGAUUUCUCUGUUUAUGGAAAAACUUUUGAUAGUUGUCUUGAAAACUUAGACAAGGUUUUGCAAAGAUGUGAAGAAAAGCACUUAAUCCUUAAUUGGGAAAAAUGUCAUUUUAUGGUUAGGGAAGGAAUAGUGCUAGGACACUUAGUGUCUGAAAGAGGGAUUGAGGUAGACAAAGCUAAAAUUGAAGUAAUUGAACAACUACCUCCACCUGUAAACAUAAAAGGAAUUCGAAGCUUUCUUGGCCAUGCUGGUUUUUAUCGUAGAUUCAUAAAAGAUUUUUCAUUCAUUGCUAGACCACUUACUCUUUUGCUAGCCAGGGAUGCUCCUUUCGAAUUUGAUGAUGCAUGUCUAACAUCUUUCAAUUUAUUAAAGAAAGCACUCAUCUCUGCACCAAUCAUUCAACCCCCUGAUUGGUCGUUACCUUUUGAUAUUAUGUGUGAUGCUAGUAAUUAUGCUGUGGGGGUAGUAUUAGGACAAACUAAAGACAAGAAGCAUCAUGCAAUUGCUUAUGCCAGUAAAACUUUGACAGGAGCUCAACUUAACUAUGCAACCACUGAAAAAGAGCUUCUGGCUGUUGUCUUUGCCAUUGAUAAAUUUAGAUCUUAUUUAGUUGGAGCUAAAAUAAUUGUUUACACUGAUCAUGCUGCAUUAAAAUAUUUGCUCACUAAAAAAGAUGCUAAACCUCACCUGAUUAGAUGGAUCUUAUUACUCCAAGAAUUUGACUUAGAAAUAAAAGAUAAAAAGGGAGUAGAGAAUUCUGUUGCUGAUCACUUGUCUAUAAUGUAUUUUAAGAGUCCACAGGAAACCCCCAUCAAUGAUUCACUCCGGGACAACAUGCUCUACGGGAUUAACAGGUCUGACCCCUGGUAUGCAGAUAUUGUUAAUUUUAUGGUUUCAGGGUAUGUACCACCAGGAGCAAACAAGAAGAAGCCUAUUCAAGAAAGUCGUUCACAUAUAUGAGAUGAGCCAUACCUCUUCCGAGUAUGCUCUGAUGGCUUACUCAGGAGAUGUGUGACCACUGAGGAAGGAUGGAAGAUCAUUGACAGAUGUCAUUCGUCACCAUAUGGAGGUCACUAUGGAGCAUUCCGUACACAUUCAAAGAUCUGGCAGUGUGGAUUCUAUUGGCCUACAAUGUAUGAAGACACGAAGCAAUAUAUCAGAAGAUGUGGGCCAUGUCAAAGACACGGAAACAUAAAUACAAGGGAUGCAAUGCCACUCACCAACAACCUUCAGAUUGAGCUCUUUGAUGUCUGGGGAAUAGACUACAUGGGUCCAUUUCCUCCAUCAAAGAAGUGUGAGUACAUCUUGGUGGCAGUUGACUAUGUCUCCAAGUGGGUAGAAGCAUUACCUUGCAAGCAUGCCGACAACGUCAGUUCAAAGAGGAUGUCUGAAGAAAUUAUAUUUGCAAGAUUUGGAGUCCCCAGAGUAGUGAUAAGUGAUGGAGGAGCACACUUCAUCGACAAACGCUUCAAGCAAUAUCUAUCAAGACAUGGAAUCCGUCACAACGUCGCUACCCCCUAUCAUCCUCAGACAAGUGGCCAAGCAGAGACUUCCAACAAACAAAUCAAGAAUAUUCUUCAGAAGACAGUAAAUAAAAUGGGAAUGGCGUGGAAAGACAAGCCACCCGAUGCACUCUGGGCAUACCGGACAGCAUACAAGACCCCAAUCGGAAUGUCUCCAUACCAAUUGGUGUACGGGAAGACUUGCCAUCUACCUGUUGAACUAGAAUUCAAAGCACACUGGGCCAUAAAGAGAUGGAAUAUGGACCUAGAUGUUGCUGGAGAUUAUAGAAGAAUGCAACUAUCAGAAUUGGAAGAAUGGUGAGAGAAGGCAUAUCACAAUUCAAAGAUCUACAAAGAAAGAGUCAAGAGGUGGCAUGACAAGAUAAUCAAGAAGAAGGAGUUCACAUCCGGAGAUAAGGUAUUACUUUUUAAUUCCAGGGUGAAGCUUUUCGGGCAUGGAAAACUCCGGAGCAAAUGGGAAGGACCAUUCAAGGUAAUCAAUUCAUCAUCCCACGGUGCUAUCACACUUCAAAAUAGCGAAGGUACGUUAUUCAAGGUAAAUGGUCAGCGUCUUAAAUUAUUUUUAGAGCCCAAUGAGGAAUUUGAAGAAAUAGACGUAGUCCAUUUUUACCUUCCCAUGGAGAAUUAGAGCCCGACACUUUUGGUCUGAUGGUUUUGGGUCAUAUAUAUAUUUUUCUAAAUAAUUCCGCAUCUAGAAACGCGCUCGGAGAAGUGGGCCCACAGAGGGGCCAGAGAGAGGGCGGGCGCCCAGCCCCUGUUCCCCCUCGGUCCCGACUUUCUCUGUUAUGGAAAAUGCACUUAGGGUGAUCCGAAUAAUCCCUCGGAUAGAAAGUUUUGCACGCACGUCGACGGGAGCAACCCGAACAACCCAUAGAGGCACCCUUUUGACCCCUAUAUAAACAGACCCCUGACCUCAGUUUUCAAACACCAAGCCACCAAGCUUUCUCUCCUUCAAUUAGAGCUUGAUUAGCUCUCCUUCAAUUAAAAUUUGAUUUGUUCCUUGCUGCUCCAAUGGCCGAGAAGUACCACGAUGAUUGGGAAGUUGUCCCCUUCAACCUCAACAUGGAGCCUGUGGAAGACCCCGAUGCCCGUGCUCUCGUCCCGGCCAACACAGAGCGUCAGCUAGAAGCCAUGCCGUUACGCCAACGCAGCUCCGCCCAAUCUUACCAUGCUCAACCAGUUCUCACCGCACGGCCACAACCCCUACUCCUCACAGGAUCAUCAUCCUAGACGAAGACCACUAUCAAGGUGCCAAUCGGCACAAGGAUCCUUCCACCUAGACCUAAUGAGAGGGUCGUUGGAGUCAAGACCAAUCGGAGCGGCGAGAUCAGUAGUAUUCGCUACACUACGGAGGAGGAAAGGCCUUACUUCGAAGGGAUUAGAGCAGCCAAAGUCUGUUUCAUCCCUCCAAAGGCAGCCCCAAAGCACUCUCUCAAUGCUUUUGAGACACCUCCCAAGCGUCGCAAGACUAUAAUGGAUAUUGAUGAGGAAGUUCGCAGGCUAGAUAGAGUUAUCAUAGACCUCCAGUCCUCGAUUAAUUCCCUCACUAGGCAGCUCUCUAACCACAACACCAUUAUACUAGGCCUUAGGCAGGAUCUUGCCAGUGCCAACAAGAAGAUCAAAGAAUUAGAGCGCCGCUAAGUUAUCUAGAUUAGAGCUUGAGGCAAUGCAUCUUAGUCAUCUAUCUUUAAAUUCGGUUUAAGUUUGCUAAUAUCAGUUUACUAUCAGUUUGCUAUCAGUCUUUUGUAAUAAAUGCCUCAAGAUCAAUAAAGAGUAUUAUUAUUAUUAUUAUUAUUAUUAUUAUUAUUAUUAUUAUUAUUAUUAUUAUUAUUAUUAUUAUUAUUAUUAUUAUUAUUAUUAUUAUUAUUAUUAUUAUGUCUUGUGUGUCUCUACUUUUUUUUUGUGCAAGAAAGCAGAAAACAAGUAUGGGGGAGAUCCCUCGACAUGCCAAACACACUCCAACUACACCACUCCACGAUUCAGGUACACACUCUGCACACUUUAUGUUACACAUAUAUUUAUUUUGGAUUAUGCAGAUUACUGUUUCCGACAUGAUAAGAUAAAAAGAUUAAAAUAUUUCUAAUCAUGAUUAAUCUCAAUCUGUGAUAUUUCCGGAAAAAUUGCAAUUAUUAUAAAAUCAUUUUAAAACCCUGUGUUACUUAAGUCAAUAUGGAAUAUGUGAUGGUAGAGUAUGAGUUUCUUAUUCUUGAUAUCAUUGUUGCUUGGAGAAUUUAUUUCAAAAUAUUCAAAAUUCUAGCUACCAUCCUCAGUGUUUUAUAUGCCUGAUAAAACUGAAAAUAUUAAUUAUGAUUAUAAAAGCUAUCUGCUCUGUAUUGAGUUUGUUCAAAAUGAGUUAGACCCUUGUUGAGAGAUUUAUCAUGCUCCCAAGAUCAAGACAUUAUUUCAGUAAGAUUCACUCUUCCGAAGUAUUAUUGCAUUAGAGGCACGGGCUAUGCAAAAAUAGAGAUAUUUCGAGGAAAUAAAAAGGAGCAAGUGGUCGACAACCUCGCAGAAAAAAUGGACAAGUGUCCGGCAGUAGAAUUAGGGAUACCUCAGUAUCAACUUAAAAAAAAGAGAAAAGAGAAAAAAAUGAUAGCCCAUGGUCCCUCUAAUAAGCAAUAUGCCAGCAAGAGUUGACAAAGUUUUUAAUUUCCAAAGUCUUUGAUCUAAGAGUAUGACAUUCCCCUCCUCGGAUCCCGUUUUGAUCAGGCAAUAAAUGCAAAGUAAGAAUGCUUGAGAAUUUUUGCAAAAUAAAACAGCCUCAGUGAGAUAUAUAUAUAUAUAUAUAAGAUAAUGAGUGAUUUGAGAGAACCUAUGAGGAUCAAAAGGUAUGCUAACUUUCUUUCAAAAAUAUACAAAAACUCCAAGUGAUAGGAUUGAGAAGAAAGGAUCUUUACUCUUAACCAUAUACUUCCCUGACUAUGGUACACAGUGGAAUUUUAACACCCUGCAAUUAUAUAAAGAAUGUUUUUAAAAUGUUUACCCCAGAUAUUUUUCUUAACCAUCCUUUUCUCGAGGACGAGUAAAAGCCUAAGUAUGGAGGUAUUUGUUGACGGUUCUUAAGUAUCAAUUUUAAUUAUCAAAUAAACAAGAGAAAGGACGAAUAUGCAACCAACACCUAGAAUUAGGGUUUGAUCUGACAGAAUUCCACGAGUUUUGUUGUUUAUCUGUUUCUGCAGGGGGUUAUCAGGAAAUAAGGAAGAAAGGCCCACAUGUCGGGAUUACAUAGAGAUAUCAACGCACCGCGCAAUUUUACACCAUCUAGAAGACUCCAGAAGCCACGAGACCGAAGCGGAGGCGAAACGGGACCAGGCCCAGGGCACCCGCCCUGAGGACCUGGGCGCCCGCCCCCGUCUGGAGCCCAAUCAGGACUCUCUUCGCUCGGAAUAUUCCACCGACCUAUUGGAUCAAGAAAAACGUAGUACCACCUCGCCUAUCGACCCAAAAACGCAUAGAAGGGGAGGACUUAUAAGCAAGGCCCCCUGGCCCCUGGAGAAGACAUGAAGAAAUUAUCAUAGAGACUGAGGGGUGCCCUCGAAAGAAAACCUCUUCUCUAAUUAAUAUUUCUUUUUAGGCUUAGCAAUCAAUGUAAGGUAGAAAUAGAUCUUCUAGUUUCUACUAGAUUGAGAGAGAUAGAGUGGAGGUGUAGAGUGGAGGAAGCCCGGCCUGUCGGCGUCUACUCCAAGCUUGUACCUGCGGGAUCAAGUUCUCCUAACCCGAAGCUUGCUCCUAGGAUUCUUCAGUAAUUCAACUUCUAAAUUCUAGUAAGUUCUUGUUUUAUUGUUCUUAUGGUUUAUGAGUUUACUUUAAUCUCUUCGUGUAGAGUUUAGAGUAAUCAUUGUUGGCGUAAACGUGGUGUUUAGGCUGGGGUACUCAUAGAUAUUCCCUGACUAGCUGGACCGUGGUAGUAGUGAGGAACGUGACAAUUCUGAGCUACCUUUGUAGAUCACAUCUCGUUAGCAGGAAGGAUAGGGUUUAUAGGUGCGGGUUGAACAUCCUUUGUGGUGUCUAGAUUCCGUUAGCCUCCCCAUUAGAACAGUAGAUCAUCCUUACCAAGGUUAAAAGGAGACUACGGUUGCAGUCUUCUCUAUUUAUCACUCACAUCGAAAGACAUUCUUUGUGCCUAAAGGUUAGUAGUAAUAGACCGGUUAGUCAGAUGCACUCUUUCACCUAGUGGUAAAAAAAUAAAUACAAUACUCUAGAUAAUUUCCCGGGUGAAGUGCUCACUGAUAUCCGUGCGCUUGCGGAUCAAUUCCUUAUUGCGUUCCCAAAUAUCAACAAACAAAUACCCCCAUACUUAGGCUUUUACUCGUCCUCGAGAAAAGGAUGGUUAAGAAAAAUAUCUGGGGUAAACAUUUUAAAGCAUUCUCUAUAUAAUUGUAGGGUGUUAAAAAUGCACUGUGUACCAUAGUCAGGGAAGUUUAUGAUCAAGAGUAAAGAUCCUUUCUUCUCAAUCCUAUCACUUGGAGUUUUUGUAUAUUUUUUUGAAAGAAAGUUAGCAUACCUUUUUGAUCCUCAUAGGUUCUCUCGGAUCAGUCAUUAUCUUUUAUAUAUAUCUCACUGAGGCUGUUUUAUUUUGCAAAAAUUCUCCAGCAUUCUUACUUUGCAUUUAUUGCCUGAUCAAAACGGGAUCCGAGGAGGGGAAUGUCAUACUCUUAGAUCAAAGACUUUGGAAAUUAAAAUCUUUGUCAACUCUUGCUGGCAUAUUGCUUAUUAGAGAGACCAUGGGCUAUCAUUUUAUUUCUCUAUUCUCUCUUCUCUUUUUUUAACUGGAUACCGAGGUACCCCUAAUUCUACUGCUGGACACUUGCCCAUUUUUUUUCUGCGAGGUUGUCCAGCACUUGCUCCUUUUUAUUUCCUCGAAAUAUCUCUAUUUUUGCAUAGCCCAUGCCUCUAAUGCAAUAAUUCUUCGGAAGAGUGAAUCUUACUGAAAUAAUGUCUUGAUCUUGGGAGCAUGAUAAAUCUCUCAACAAGGGUCUAACUCAUUUUGAACAAACUCAAUAUAGAGCAGAUAGCUUUUAUAAUCAUAAUUAAUAUUUUCAGUUUUAUCAGGCAUAUAAAACACUGAGGAUGGUAGCUAGAAAUUUGAAUAUUUUGAAAUAAAUUCUCCAAGCAACAAUGAUAUCAAGAAUAAGAAACUCAUACUCUACCAUCACAUAUUCCAUAUUGACUUAAGUAACACAGGGUUUUA